AUUGAACGCUGGCGGCAGGCCUAACACAUGCAAGUCGAACGAGUGGCGGACGGGUGAGUAAUGUCUGGGAAACUGCCCGAUGGAGGGGGAUAAAUACUGGAAACGGUAGCUAAUACCGCAUACCAUCGGAUGUGCCCAGCUGGGUUUAGGUAGUUGGUUAGGUAAAGGCUCACCAAGCCGACGAUCUCUAGCUGGUCUGAGAGGAUGACCAUCCACCCUGGGACUUAGACACGGCCCAGACUCCUCCGGGAGGCAGCAGUGGGGAAUAUUGCGCAAUGGGGGCAACCCUGACACAGCCAUGCCGCGUGAAUGAAGAAGGCCUUCGGGUUGUAAAGUUCUUUCGGUAGCGAGGCGUUAACUACAGAAGAAGCACCGGCUAACUCCGUGCCAGCAGCCGCGGUAAUUC
rnacentral:rRNA from 1 species